AUUGAACGCUGGCGGCAUGCUUUACACAUGCAAGUCGGACGAGUGGCGAACGGGUGAGUAAAGCCUCGGAAAGUACCGGGUAAUGGGGGAUAACUGUCCGAAAGGACAGCUACUACCGCAUACUAUUAGAGCGGCCCAUGUAUGAUUAGCUGGUUGGGGGGGGAAAGGCCCACCAAGGCGACGAUCAGUCGCGGGUCUGAGAGGAUGACCCGCCACACUGGGACGGAGACACGGCCCAGACUCCUACGGUAGGCAGCAGUGGGGAAUUUUGGACAAUGGGCGCAAGCCUGAUCCAGCCAUGCCGCGUGUCUGAAGAAGGCCUUCGGGUUGUAAAGGACUUUUGUCAGGGAAGCGUUACCUGAAGAAUAAGCACCGGCUAACUACGUGCCAGCAGCCGCGGUAAUAC
rnacentral:rRNA from 1 species